ACUAUAGUCCGACUUUGUGAAAUGACUUGAGAGGUGUAGUAUAAGUGGGAGCCGAAAGGCGAAAGUAAAAUACCACUAUUUUUAACGUUAUUUUACUUAUUCCGUGAAUAGGAAGCGAUACACUGCCCCUCUUUUUCGACCCAAGGCUUGCUUGCAGGCCAAUCCGAACGAAAGACAUUGUUAGGUGGGUAGUUUGGCUGGGGCGGCAC
rfam:Nicotiana attenuata strain TT chromosome 3, whole genome shotgun sequence.